rnacentral:lncRNA from 1 species
UUAUGUUCGAAACAAAUUUAGGAACAUAAUAACAAUCAUCCAACAUAAGUACUUUGCCCGUACGUAUUAUUAAAGAAAUUGAUCCUACAACUACGGCCGCAACUUUUGCAACAUUUCCAACUUGUAGAUUAAUUUCUCUUUUCUUCAAUUUUCUACUUAUCUUGAACCCUUGCAACAUAUUGCAAAUGUUUUAACCACUGCCAAUAUCUAAUACCCACAGUGAAGAAAGUAGCUAAAGAAACCUUGAAAACAUUUUUCAUUAAUGUCUCACCUUGUUUCUUGUCCUUUAGAGUUGCAAGAUACUCCUAGCAGUUUUUCUUCCAAUUA